UGGUCUACAUUGAAUUCUCAUAAUCUCCUCAUGUGACAACCAGAAGUGCACUCUUCAAUUCACACUUUUAGAUUCCUGAGUUACAAAUAACUGAAGAUGCUUGGUCCUACACAAUGAUUUCCAGAGUAUCUAUGUUGGGGCAUGUUUCAAAUAGGAAAAUAAAUCUCUAUUCAUCUUGUACACUCCAUCCAGCACUACAGUUCAGAAUGCCUUCCAAAGAAUGAAGCCCACCCCCCAUGGCUCAGCUAGUGGCGUUCACCGGACCAGGAACCCCGAGACCUGAAGGAGGAGCCGUGCAUCUGGAGGAACACCAUGAGGCUACCUGCCAAGUAUUACUAACUUCCACGAGGAGGGGGACUGACGGCUGGAGGACCUGCCUACUGGUGGGGCGAGUGACACCCGGCUCUACAGGGAUGACCAUGGAGGAGAGAGAGCGGAAGCCUGUGCAUCCUGAAGGGGAAUCAGGAGCGGUUGAAGAGCUGUGUUCAGUCUGGGAAGGACACACCUGAGCUGUUUCACACUGAGCUGCUUCACACCUGCAUCUCUAACCAGCUGAAGCCCUUCAGUGACCAACAAACGGUGCCUCAUCACAGCUUAUCAUCGCUGGCCUGAGGAUUCAUCUGCUACACUCACACAACGUGACUUUGUCACCAUCUGCUGCACGUUGGGAUGCUAACGUGUUCCACCAGGGGUUCCUUCCUUCCCGCAGUGGGAGUGUUCCUUGUCCUUCAAGGAGUUAGGGUUCAGUGUUAGGGACAGAGUUAGGGAGAGAUGGUUGAGUCCUGGCUGGUUUACGAUGAACUGCUCUAACGCUUUGGCAAAAUGUUUCAAUGUGCAAACACUCACAUACACAUACAAUGUAUAAUAAGUGUUUAUGAAAUAAAUUCUGUUAUAAUUCUG